CCCGCCCAACCUCCCGUCCUGGAAGAAAACCUACGAAAAAAACCAGAAAUCGCACGCACGAGCGAGACUGCCCUCUCGAUCCCCUCGACCUACGAUCUGUGACUGCAGACGCACUAGAUCGCCGCCGCGGACCUCGUAGGGAAGACGCGAACGAGAUCCCAAGCCGCUGCUCCUCCUCUCCCGGGAUGCAGCCGCCGCCGCCGAGUCAGGGAGACGCCGGCGACCGUCGCCGCCGUCGUGGAUCACCAGGACGCCGCCGCCUGCACCGCCACCACCGCGCCUCGGAUACGUCGCUGCGAGGCCGAGGCGGAUCCCUGGGAGCGGGAGGAGGUAGGGGUCAGCCGCGUCGACAGCGGCGAGGUGGAGCCCUGGGGCUGGGAGUGGGCAUGGGAGGAGGUGGGGGGCAGCUGCGAGCGCAACGGGGUGAGGGGCGUCGAUGAGAUGCUCCUGGUGCCUCCCUCCGAGUGGGAGGGGGAGAGGGACGUCAGCGGCGAGCCGGAUGGGGCGAGGGGCGUCGAUGAGAUGCCCCCGGCGCUUCCCUCCGGGCGGGAGGAGGAGAGGGGCGUCGGCGGUGAGGCGGGUGUCGGCGGCGAGAUGGUCUCUGACUGGCGUGAUGAGGCGGGCAGCUUAGGCGUGAAGCGUGCGUUCGUGGAGGUAUUCGCCAGGGCGCUCUUCUAUCCGACGGUGAUGCUCAACUACGGCCGCAGUUUGAUCGAGCCCGAGUUCCACUGGUGGGAUCGCAUCGACAAGGAUAUUUGGAUAGGGGCAGUUCCUCACCAACCAAUGUCAUAAUUUAUCACGUCCGCAAAUGAUUUUUGGACUGUAGUUUGGAUUGUUCUGCCGAGCGUAUAACAACGCAUGCUAUCUAUCAAAGCUUCGACUCAUUUGUUUUGCUGCUCUGGAAUAUUGAGACGAGAAGAAUGGCCUUGAUGCUGGAGGUUAAUGGAUCACCCUGGGAACGAUUUUGAGGGCAUUAUGCCAGCUACUUUGAUGGCAAUGGAUUAUGGAAUGGCAAACUAACAGGGCACAUCGCACAACUGGUAUAAAUGUGUUGAUAUGUUGCAUUUCAAGGCAGUUUCACUCAUAAAUACUACACAGUUUGAACAAUUUAGCAUUUGGGACCACGAGGAUUCCGAUUGGGAGAACGACGUCGUCCAUAGAUUAAUGUAUGGGAACAUCGAGCCAACCCACUUUACAGGACAGGAGGGUUGACCGCUGGGCGAUGCGCUGCACGAGUAGGCCAGGAGGAACAAGAGUAGAAGAGGACUGUAGCCUGUAGGUGAGAGAAGAUGAUGCCAUUGCCAUCUUGACUGAAGGUUGGGCAUCUAAAGAUGCUUGGCAACCAGAACUCUGAAGCUAAACACCACUUGAAGGUACCUGGAAAUACAUUACUUGCUGAAGCUGCACAUCCUACGCCCCAGGAGGAGGCCAAAUGCAUAUUCCGAUCAUGUGAUCUAAAUACUAAAGCUUCCUUGCUGGAUCUAAGCAUACUUCCGUAGCAGCCGGAGCUGAACAUUUAGAGAGACCAUACUGUAGCAAGCUUGCUUUCCAGGGACCUGGUGUUUCUGCAAACCCAACGAUAGGCGUGUUUGAAAAAAAAAGUAUGCAAGCUUCUAAGCGCCGGAUCGAUGUCGUACUAACAAAUUAAGCUAAAUGGCGCGCCCGCUGUAGCAAGUGAGUGCCCAUCGAAAUCACCUUGAGCAUAUUUGCGCUGAUUUUCAUGAUUGCUCUUCUGCCAGCAACAAUGUUCCUCGCACUUCGACCACACAACUGUAUGUUCAUGUUCCAGAGUCCUUAUUCAUAGUUAAUUUCAAUCACAAAGUGACAAAUGCCAGUCUAUUAGUUAACAUGUGUAUCUCCGUUUCUUCUAAGUUUCAAUCGACCUACUCUGAAGUUGUUCUAAGACAGUGCCUCAAGCAAAGGGAAUGAGCCUCAGUUAGUGUAUCUAGCGAGUUCGCGAUCCUUUGUUGGGAUAAACAUUUGUGCAAGAGCAAGUCUCGUCACUGUUGGUUGUUCGUACUGUUGCUUGAUAAUUCUAAUUGUUAAUUCAGUUCAUAAGGCAAUGUAGUUAUGCUUGACGCACGAUAUGAAGACUGCCAUUUUGCCUUUUGACCUUGGUUUCUUCCUCCAGUAAGUAAAUGCACAUAGUUCUUUUCUAAAUUAGAGCAUAUGACUUGUUGAUCGAUCUCUGAGCUCAGUAAUAAUAUUAAGCCUUAAUCUGUUUAUUGUGCAGACAAGAUGAGAAAGAAAUGCUACCCAAGAAUAUGUACUUUAUAAACAUUUCAACUGUAAUCUGGAAUAAAAUUAAAUAAAUAAGGAAACAGUAUAUUCAUAUAUCUUUUUUGUACUUUGAUGGUUUCACACCACAAGUUCCUAGAUGGUAAUUGUGCUGCAUAUGUCUGCUCUCUUACUUUGUUUUUCUGAACUGGUAGGUUCCGGAAGAUGUCAUGAAGAAUUUCUUUCAGAGAAUUUGCGUGAGGUGUGUCUAAAUGAUUUUUAUCUUCUGAACAUAUUCUUGUAUGACUAACUGAAUUCAUUUUCUCAAAACGUUGGUACUUUUCCUUUUUCAUUUAUGUUGCUCGACUGAGUCUCUCUCGGAUCAUGUACACUCCACAUGCUAGCUGAUCUGUAGCAGUGCGGAAGGUGAGCUUGGCUGCCGGCAGCAGCUCCUUUGGCUGAUCUGCGGCGAUGCAGAAGUUGGGUUGGAAAAAAGCACGACCGGCUGCUCUGAAGUGGGUCGUAGGGAGAGCUUCGUAAGAGAUAGGGAGGGAGCUCUAUUGGCCCGUGCAUGACAUCCAACCCAAUGGCAUCAUGCCCUGGUAGGCAUGGUUGCAUGGCCACGGGGAGAAUGGAGCAAGUAGCGUGUGAGGAGUUUAAGAAAUGGGGACAAGGGACAGUUUAGUUAAUUAAGUCUAUGUUAGUUUUAAGUUUUAUCCUUGUUGCGGUAAAAAAUUAAGGUUGGAUUAACCACCAUGUACAUCUUUAAUUACUUUUAAAUAAGAAAUAUAAUCAAAAUAUUCUUUUGAAAUCA